rnacentral:rRNA from 1 species
UACGUAGGGGGCUAGCGUUGUCCGGAAUCAUUGGGCGUAAAGCGCGUGUAGGCGGUCCGGUAAGUCCGCUGUGAAAGUCGAGGGCUCAACCCUCGAAUGCCGGUGGAUACUGUCGGGCUAGAGUGCGGAAGAGGCGAGUGGAAUUCCUGGUGUAGCGGUGAAAUGCGCAGAUAUCAGGAGGAACACCGAUAGCGAAGGCAGCUCGCUGGGACGGUACUGACGCUGAGGCGCGAAAGCGUGGGGAGCGAACAGG